AAUUUAUAUUAACAUGAAGGAUAUGGAAUUUCAUAGGAUUCUGUGAAAUCACAGACAUGGGGGAAGGGUUCCUAUUCACUCAGCUAGAACUCUAUGGUUCAUCCAGUUCAAAACAAAGGUUAGUGAGAGAAAUAACCCCUGUCUAGUUUUUAUCCAGCCCUUUGAGCCUUUUUAGAGGACAGAUGAUGACUACAAAACAUUGAAAGCAGUACACUCAAGGUUCCCUUUGCAAGUGUCAUCUGCCACUGACCAUGUCCUUAAUGGUGUUUCUUCUCCUGGGUGGGCAGGAACGCUGAAGGUGUGGAGGAGCUCUUCCUGCACCAGUUCCUCAGAACGCUGUCUUACUCUUUUUGAAUCUGCUCCUAGUGCUAGAGCUUGCCUUGCUUAAUGAGCAACGUUAGUAGGUUAGCAGUUGAUGAAAAAUCCGAGUAAGUGCAGUCCUCUGUGAUUUAAUAUCAACUUCAUCUGCAGGUCAGAGGUGGAGUGCAAAAUAUCGUUAUGAUAAGGAGUGGUUGAAUAAUGGGAGAAUGUGCGGGUUAUCAUUUUUCAAAGAAAAUUAUUCUCAUCUCAAUGCCAAAAAGAUAGUUUCUACACAUCACCUGCUUGCUGAUGUCUAUGGUGUUACAGAAGUGCUACACGGGCUACAGCUGAAGAUUGGAAUACUAAAGAAUAAACAUCAUCCUGACCUUCAUCUCUGGGCUUGUUCCGGGAAGCGAAAAGACCAAGAUCAAAUAAUAGCUGGGGUGGAGAAAAAAAUAGCUCAAGACACAGUUAAUCG
rnacentral:lncRNA from 10 species